GACGAACCGUGCGAACGUUGUUCGGAAUCACUGGGCUUAAAGGGCGCGUAGGCGGGCCAUAAAGUCAGGGGUGAAAUCCUCCAGCUUAACUGGAGAACUGCCUUUGAUACUGAUGGUCUCGAGUAAGGUAGGGGCAUGCGGAACUGAUGGUGGAGCGGUGAAAUGUGUUGAUAUCAUCAGGAACUCCGGUGGCGAAGGCGGCAUGCUGGACCUUCACUGGCGCUGAGGCGCGAAAGCUAGGGGAGCGAACGGG
rnacentral:rRNA from 1 species